UCUUCGCUAGUAUAUCGGUUAGUACACGCGCCUGUCAUACUCGAUUGAACGCGCGAAAGCUGGGUUCGACUCCCAGGCGAAGAG
rnacentral:tRNA from 1 species